UAAAACAUUUGUGUAUGAAACAUCUGAAAGAAUACAAGCUGUGCAUGAAGGAGUCUACAGACAGCAGCCAAAAUGCAGCAACUUCAGGUACGGCAAAGGAAGGUCAGUCACAGCUAAAAAAUUGUGUUAACCAGACGAGAAUUACCAUAUUUUGUGGAA